GCUGACGGAAUUAAUAACAGGAGCACGCUACUAUGUAGCCAAGUGAUGUAGCUCUUAUUAAAAUGGUUAGUAUACCACCUACUCUAUUCUCCUCGGACAUUUAAUUCCCACAAUGUGAUGACAUCUUGAUGACGAGUCUUAUUCGAAUUCUCGAUGCAGACACAAAUAUUUAAAUAACCAUUCAUGCCAAACUGAACCUGUGCUCUUCAGCAUCGUUUAUCACACGCACAAUGCAUAUCCUAGUUCGUAACACUAACUUGGGCUGAGAGCAGG
rnacentral:snoRNA from 1 species